rnacentral:rRNA from 1 species
UACGUAGGGUCCAAGCGUUGUCCGGAUUUAUUGGGCGUAAAGAGCUCGUAGGCGGUUCCGUAAGUCGGAUGUGAAAACUCGGGGCUCAACCCCGAGACGCCAUCCGAUACUGCGGUGACUUGAGUCUGGUAGGGGAACACGGAAUUCCUGGUGUAGCGGUGAAAUGCGCAGAUAUCAGGAGGAACACCAGUAGCGAAGGCGGCUCGCUGGGCCACACCUGACGCUGAGACGCGAAAGCUAGGGGAGCGAACAGG